UGGGGAAUUUUGGACAAUGGGCGCAAGCCUGAUCCAGCAAUGCCGCGUGAGUGAAGAAGGCCUUCGGGUUGUAAAGCUCUUCUGUCAGGGAAGAAACGGCUGCGGCUAAUAUCCGCGGCUAAUGACGGUACCUGCAGAAGAAGCCCCGGCCAACUACGUGCCAGCAGCCGCGGUAAUACGUAGGGGGCGAGCGUUGUCCGGAUUUAUUGGGCGUAAAGAGCUCGUAGGCGGUUGGGCAAGUCACGUGUGAAAUCUCCACGCUCAACGUGGAGGCGCCACGUGAGACUGCCCUGACUCGAGUCCGGUAGGGGAGCGUGGAAUGCCCGGUGUAGCGGUGAAAUGCGCAGAGAUCGGGAGGAACACCCGUAGCGAAGGCGGCGCUCUGGGCCGGUACUGACGCUGAGGAGCGAAAGCGUGGGGAGCAAA
rnacentral:rRNA from 1 species